rnacentral:rRNA from 1 species
CCUACGGGCGGCUGCAGUGGGGAAUAUUGCACAAUGGGCGCAAGCCUGAUGCAGCCAUGCCGCGUGUGUGAAGAAGGCCUUCGGGUUGUAGAGCACUUUCAGCGGGGAGGAAGGCGGUGAGGUUAAUAACCUCAUCGAUUGACGUUACCCGCAGAAGAAGCACCGGCUAACUCCGUGCCAGCAGCCGCGGUAAUACGGAGGGUGCAAGCGUUAAUCGGAAUUACUGGGCGUAAAGCGCACGCAGGCGGUCUGUCAAGUCGGAUGUGAAAUCCCCGGGCUCAACCUGGGAACUGCAUUCGAAACUGGCAGGCUAGAGUCUUGUAGAGGGGGGUAGAAUUCCAGGUGUAGCGGUGAAAUGCGUAGAGAUCUGGAGGAAUACCGGUGGCGAAGGCGGCCCCCUGGACAAAGACUGACGCUCAGGUGCGAAAGCGUGGGGAGCAAACGGGAUUAGAUACCCGUGUAGUC